AUUGAACGCUGGCGGCAGGCCUAACACAUGCAAGUCGAGCGGUAGCACAGAGAGCUUGCUCUCGGGUGACGAGCGGCGGACGGGUGAGUAAUGUCUGGGAAACUGCCUGAUGGAGGGGGAUAACUACUGGAAACGGUAGCUAAUACCGCAUAAUGUCGCAAGACCAAAGUGGGGGACCUUCGGGCCUCAUGCCAUCAGAUGUGCCCAGAUGGGAUUAGCUAGUAGGUGGGGUAACGGCUCACCUAGGCGGCGAUCCCUAGCUGGUCUGAGAGGAUGACCAGCCACACUGGAACGGGGACACGGUCCAGACUCCUACGGGAGGCAGCAGUGGGGAAUAUUGCACAAUGGGCGCAAGCCUGAUGCAGCCAUGCCGCGUGUAUGAAGAAGGCCUUCGGGUUGUAAAGUACUUUCAGCGGGGAGGAAGGCGAUAAGGUUAAUAACCUCGUCGAUUGACGUUACCCGCAGAAGAAGCACCGGCUAACUCCGUGCCAGCAGCCGCGGUAA
rnacentral:rRNA from 1 species